UACGGAGGGUGCAAGCGUUAUCCGGAUUCACUGGGUUUAAAGGGUGCGUAGGCGGGCAGGUAAGUCAGUGGUGAAAUCUCCGGGCUUAACCCGGAACUGCCGUUGAUACUAUCUGUCUUGAAUAUCGUGGAGGUAAGCGGAAUAUGUCAUGUAGCGGUGAAAUGCUUAGAUAUGACAUAGAACACCCAUUGCGAAGGCAGCUCGUUACACGAAUAUUGACUCUGAGGCACGAAAGCGUGGGGAUCAAACAGG
rnacentral:rRNA from 1 species